ensembl:lncRNA
UGUGUGUGUGUGUGUGUGUGUGUGUGUGUGUGUGUGUGUGUGUGUGUGUGUGUGUGUGUGUGUGUGUCAGAGUGUGUGUGUGUGUGAGAGAGAGAGCCAAAAGACCCUGCGUAGCCUCAGCAAGGGCAUGCCCCCCACACGAGAGCCGACAGCGGUGGCAUUUUUACCAGUCUGUCACGCCUACCACAGUCAAUGCACCACAAGAUCGAGCCCUGAAGGUACGGGUCAGGCUUUUCCAUCACAGAGCGCUCCACUUCAGGCAACAACUCUGUGUGUAUGUGUGUGUGUGGACUAUAAAAAGAACUGCUCUGUUAAGCUCUAUCAGUCAAGCUUGAAUAGAAUUCACAUUUUCCGCCAGAAGUUCCUAGGUUUUCUGUUUUAUAAAAAUCCCACUUCUGUGGCCAACACCAAGUGCCGGCGAAAGCCUUCAUGAAACAUUUCCAUUAUCUGCUUUGGAGAUUUCUCAUUAUAACGACACUCCCCUCCCCCCGGUUACAGACUCACGGAGCUUGUCGCAGCAGUUUUUCCCCCCUCUUUUUCCAAUUGUUCGAUGGAGCUUGAGCUGUGGCUAAUGCUUAUUAAAAUCUGCGGUGAGGAGUGAUUUCUGUCUAAUGUAAUAACGCUGGGGCCCGUUAGCCAGUCAGCAAUCAGCACUACCUCUGGGGGACAGAGGAACUGUCAUCAGCAGUAAUUGGUUGAAAUGGCAUGCUUGCAUUCAACGUGUUUGUGUGCGUGUGUGUGGUGGGGGAUGAGUUUCACUGGAAAAGCUUGAAAAACACAUACACACACACACACAGAUGAAGAGUGCUGCAGCUGCGAAGUUUGUCAAUGAAUACAUUUACGAGAGAGAGAGAGAGAGAGAGAGAGAGAGAGAGAGAGUGUGAGUGAGUGAGUGUGUGUGUUUGCGCGCAUAUGUGACAGAAUGAUGAGUGCAAGGCAGCCUUCAGUUUCCAACAUCUCUGGAGGAAGAGAAGAGGGAAAUGACUACAUAAGUUAAAGCACCAUUAGCAUCCUAUCCCCUCUAAAGCAAAAGGGGGAGGGGGAGGGGGAGAAAAGAAAAGCGGGUCUGUUGGCUGCUGAAGAGUAACUGAGCCUGUACAGUUAAUAUUAAUUGCGGGGGGGCACUCAUUCUGCAAACGCAGCGAUAAGUGCAAGGCACUUCCUCUGGCACGUUCACUAGGGCACUUCUUCUGCUCACGAGAGCAGGACCAACAUCGGCAUGGCAAUUAAGGCACACGACAGAGGAGCUACAAAGACAUAGGUCGCUUCUUUCCAUUCCACACAUUCCAUUGUGUAAGGGUGCAUGCAACCAUGGGUGAUGGCUUGAACAAACAGUACUCUUGGUUUGCUUUAAAAAAAAACAAAAAAAACAUCACACACACACCACAGAGACAAGCGAAGAGGCAAAAGUAAAUGAAACGUAAUGGCAUUACAAGAAGCAGAGCAUCAGCAGGCGAGCGCGGAUGGAACUCAGGGUGCUUGUUAAAAUGAAGCGAUUUCAUGGCCGGCGGUGGCAACAGCGAGUGGUCAUUUUAAAGACAGCAUUAAGUGUGCUUCAGAGACCCUUUCCUGUGGACACACAAGUGUAUGCCCAACGCAUGCCCUCACACACACACACACACACACACACACGCACGCACGCACGGAAUCUAAGAGGGAUCUGGGGUGGAAUAAUGAUUCCUGCUCUUCUCGAAACACAUUAGGCAGUAACCUCAGAACACACAGCUGGCCGGCCCACCCCUUCCCCAUCCCCUUUCGGGCUCGUCACGAGGAAGUGAGGCUUUUAUUUUGAUCCGGCCCGAUGAGUGCUUUCUGCCACCCUCAUUUUGCCUGGCCUGCAGCAGACCACAUCGAUUUUUCUUCCUCUUCACUCAAAAGGAGGGCAUGCGGCAUCGCCACCCCCCCCCCCCCCCCUUUCAACCACGACCACCAUUCCCAGCCUUCCACACAAGGUCUUCCCUGAGGCUCUCUCUUUCUCUGUGCCUCACUCACACUCUCUCGCUCUCUCUCUCUCUCUCUCUCUGUGUCUACCCAUCUUCGCUUGAGAAUGAGGAGACACUAGACUGGAUCCACACGGCUUGGAGCUCGAGACCAUUCUGCAUGUGCUCCUCAUACGGCGCUACUGUGACGAGGGCCUUCCCUGUGAAAAAAUGACAAAUGCAGGCAUUAGAAUGGCAAACAUAAAAAACAAACAAACAAACCAAAAAAAAAUCACAUACAUCAACCUAUAACCCUUGGGCCAGCAGCCAAUACUGUUUAGAUGAAAAGCUGGUUGCAGAGUACGGUCUGAUUGCCUCAGGUGUUUUGUAGAUACCAUAAUGUCAACACGCGUGUAGGGGCAAAGAAGUUUGGGCUACUAGGUGAAAAACUCUCUCUGGGACUGGCAACACACAAGGCAGAGUGGUCCUUCACUGACCCUUCCGUCUGCAUGGGUCAAAUCCAGGACAACCCAGCUGUACUUUAUUCAUUCACACACUUAUUGGACCAAUCAUCAAAAGUUGAAUUACCACUCUAUUGACAUUAUUGCUCUGAAUGAGUGAUUGAGGAGACCAGCUCUCUGCGUAACGAUUUUGAGAAGAUGUUGCUCAAGGUCCGGUCUCUCUCAGAUAAGAGAGAGAGCGCGCAAGU